rnacentral:lncRNA from 8 species
UGGAAGGUGGUGUGUGUGUGGGUGGAGAUGGAGAGGGUGGGUGUGGAGGGAGGGAGGCAGUAGCUAGGUGAAGAAGUACGUCUUACUCACACUGCUCUUUGUACCUCUCAGGUUCCUGUCUGUCUGCAUUCAGGGGAUGUUUCAACCAUAGUGCUGCUCAGGGAGGGGAGCAGGACAGAAGUUACUGCAAGACCCAGGAAGAGACAUCAAACCCAGACAGGAAGAGGAGAAAUGGCACAGGAAGUCAGUGGAGUGAGUGAAACACAGGGCAGUCUGGUCCCAGGACACAGCAGGAAGCGGUCACAGCGCAACGCCACAGAGUGCACAACUUCACAGUGAUGUUUAUGGAAGGUUAAAUGUUAGCUGUGGUGCCCCACAGGUCCCCUGAAUUGCCUUGGCUCAGAGACUCUGGCAGCUAGUCAAGACUGUGCUGGACCCUCCAGAAGCACGUCUGCUAACCGUUAAGCCGUUUAGCUCCUAAUACCGACAACAAACACUCAUUCUGUGCUGGCCCUGGGCACAGGCCAAAGUGAGCGGCCUGCGAGAGAGGUCAGACAACUCUAUAAUCUGAUUCUACCCGUCUGCCCUCUGCUUCAACACACACAACGGCAGGUUGGGAUCCUUGCUCUGCAGGAGUCUAAAUGGGACACUGAGACACAUACGCGCCGUGGUGACACUGGGCCAUUCAUGAAAGGAGCCGAGGCUCCCAAUGGUCUCAUAAUGUGUAAAUCACUU